rnacentral:rRNA from 1 species
UAAGGAAUAUUGGACAAUGGAGGCAACUCUGAUCCAGCCAUGCCGCGUGAAGGAAUAAGGCCCUAUGGGUUGUAAACUUCUUUUAGACGGGACAAAACCCCUUUACGCGUAAAGGGUUGAUGGUACUGCCAGAAUAAGCAUCGGCUAACUUCGUUCCAGCAGCCGCGGUAAUACGAAGGAUGCAAGCGUUAUCCGGAAUUAUUGGGUUUAAAGGGUGCGUAGGCGGACUAAUAAGUCAGUGGUGAAAGCCUGCAGCUUAACUGCAGAAUUGCCAUUGAUACUGUUAGUCUUGAGUACAGUUGAGGUAGGCGGAAUGUGUCAUGUAGCGGUGAAAUGCUUAGAUAUGACACAGAACACCGAUUGCGAAGGCAGCUUGCUAAGCUGUAACUGACGCUGAGGCACGAAAGCGUGGGGAGCAAACA